GACCCGGCUGCGAGGACCCGGC
rnacentral:miRNA from 1 species